GCUGGGGCGAAAUUGAAAGGUUUGUUUACAAAGUGCAUAAUAAAUCGCGGAUUUACGGAAUUAUUUAAUUUUAAAUGUAAUUGAACAAAUACCAGCGGGCCGCCAGCGGGUCAGUUGCUGGUAACAAUUUGCAGAACGAUUCCACGGUGAUCGUUGCAUCGUCGUCAAUUAGUGAAAUCACUACUUUUCCGGCAGCCGCAACAAACGCUGGCCCAAGCCUGCAAAUUGUUGCCAG